UCUCAUCUCUGUGCUCUGCUCCAUCUGCUCCAUCUCUCAUCUCCAUCUGCUCCAUCUCUCUCUCUGUGCUCUGCUCCAUCUGCUCCAUCUCUCUCUCUGUGCUCUGCUCCAUCUCUCAUCUCGUCGCGAGAUUCUCGCGCCUGUGCCUCCACUCUCCUCUCGAUUGGACUGAUUCACCAUCGGCGUCGGCCGUUGCUCUCUAUCGGCUCUCCACGCGGCGUCGGGCAGUCGACAAUCUCUCAUCUUUAUGCUCUGCUCCAUCUCUCAUCUCGCCGCGAGAUUCUCGCACCUGUGCCUCCACUCUCCUCUUGACUGAACUGAUUCACCAUCGGCGUCGGUCGUUGCACUCUAUCGGCUCUCCACGCAUCGUCGGACAGUCGGCAAGUGCUUAUUCCACAGCCCUCAGUCGGCAAGUGUUAUUUUGACAAGUGUUAUUUGUUGUUGGUUGUUGAAUUUGUGUACGUUUGAUUGUUGAAUUUGUGUGUUGAAUGUUUGAUUGUUGAAUUUGUGUGUUGAAUUUGUG
rnacentral:lncRNA from 1 species